rnacentral:rRNA from 1 species
GACGAACGCUGGCGGCGUGCUUAACACAUGCAAGUCGAACGGAAAGGCCCUGCUUUUGUGGGGUGCUCGAGUGGCGAACGGGUGAGUAACACGUGAGUAACCUGCCCUUGACUUUGGGAUAACUUCAGGAAACUGGGGCUAAUACCGGAUAGGAGCUCCUGCUGCAUGGUGGGGGUUGGAAAGUUUCGGCGGUUGGGGAUGGACUCGCGGCUUAUCAGCUUGUUGGUGGGGUAGUGGCUUACCAAGGCUUUGACGGGUAGCCGGCCUGAGAGGGUGACCGGCCACAUUGGGACUGAGAUACGGCCCAGACCCUUACGGAGGCAGCAGUGGGGAAUAUUGCACAAUGGGCGGAAGCCUGAUGCAGCAACGCCGCGUGCGGGAUGACGGCCUUCGGGUUGUAAACCGCUUUCGCCUGUGACGAAGCGUGAGUGACGGUAAUGGGUAAAGAAGCACCGGCUAACUACGUG